ensembl:rRNA 5S_rRNA 5S ribosomal RNA
UUGGAAUAGCUUACCACCAUGAACACGCCCGAUCUCGUCUGAUCUCGGAAGCUAAGCAGGGUCGGGCCUGGUUAGUACUUGGAUGGGAGACCGCCUGGGAAUACCAGGUGUUGGCCAAU